AUACGUAGGUGGCAAGCGUUGUCCGGAUUUACUGGGUGUAAAGGGCGAGUAGGCGGGACGUGCAAGUCAGAUGUGAAAGCUAUCGGCUUAACUGAUAAACUGCAUUUGAAACUGUGGUUCUUGAGUGAUGGAGAGGCAGGCGGAAUUCCUAGUGUAGCGGUGAAAUGCGUAGAUAUUAGGAGGAACACCAGUGGCGAAGGCGGCCUGCUGGACAUUAACUGACGCUGAGGAGCGAAAGCGUGGGGAGC
rnacentral:rRNA from 1 species